rfam:Oryza sativa Japonica Group DNA, chromosome 6, cultivar: Nipponbare, complete sequence.
AAAAAGAUAAACCCUGGGUUUCCGUGUCCAACUUUAACUAUCCGUCUUAUAUGAAAUUUUUUUAUAAUUUGUAUUUUCAUUGUUGUUAGAUGAUAAAACAUGAUUAAUAUUUUAUGCGUGACUUGUCUUUUUAAUUUUUUUCAUAAUUUUUUUAAAUAAAACGGACGAUCAAACGUUGGACACGGAAACCAGGGUUGGUCUUUUU